UCCCCACUACCCCCGAUCCAACCACCAAACCCAUGAACCACACUGCAUCUGCUGCCUCCCACCGGCGCACCACCGCGGUAACCACCAGCGCCGCCCCUGCCCCCACACUACCGCGGCACCUCCUUCCUCCUUUCUUCCUCUCCCACCAGCUCCUGGGCCCCGCCGUACCACCUCCUUCCUCCGGUGAUGCCGCUCGGGACCCGCCCCACCAUCUCCUUCCUCCUCCGCCGCCGCUCGGGACCCGCCCCACCGCCUUCUUCCUUUGAUGGCCUCGCUGGCGCCCUGGAUCCCGCGGUGCAGCGGUCGUCACCCUAUCCUCCACCUCCCACCUCUAGAUUUGCCCGGCGAUGGAUCCAGCAGGACCCUCCUGCACCCCCUCCUAUCGUGCCUGCCCGGUGACGGAUCUGGCGGGAUCCACCUCCAUCUUCGUCCUCCCGUGCCUGCCCGGCGAUAGAUCCGGCAGGACCCUCCUCCACCGCCUCCUACUGUGUCUGCCCGAUGACGGAUCCGGCGGGAUCCUCCUCCACAUCCGUCCCCCCGUGCCUGCCCGCCGGCUGGAUCCUCCUACACCUCCCUUUCUUGUGCUAGCCGGUCACGGAUCCAGGAAGAUCCUCCACCCCUCUCCUCCCAAGCCUUCCUGGAGAUGGAUACGGCAGGAUCCUCCUGCAGCUGCCCUCCCCUACGAGCCGCCCUCCCCUCUCUCCUUUCCUUCUUCCUCCUCUCCCCGCAAACUACCUCUGGCUAGGUCCAGUGCAUGUCCAUCCCCGGUGGCUCGCAUGCAGUUCGGCCAACGAUGGCGUGUAGUACGACGUACGAUGGCAUGCAGUUCCGCGACCCUCCCUGGCGUGCAGUGCCACCAGCGUGUAGUGCAGCUCGCCCUGGCGUGCAGUGCAACUCGUCCAUGCGUAAGAAGGAUUUGUAUGUGAAGAGUGUCCAGCGUACUGUUAUCUAGAUGGGAAAGAAGCAAUAAUCGGUUGAGGAUGUUCCCUGUGGUAACACUAUUGCUUUGGUUGGUUUGGAUCAGUUCAUCACCAAGAAUGCAACCCUGACAAAUGAGAAGGAAGUUGAUGCCUGCCCAAUCAGGGCAAUGAAGUUCUCUGUGU